GAGCGUGGCUAUAGCGGGCGGGGCACCACCCGGUCCCAUCCCGAACCCGGUAGUGAAAACCCCCAGCACCAAUGGUACUGCUACCAAGCGGUAGAGUAGGCCGCCGCGCUCC
rnacentral:rRNA from 1 species